AAAUUGAAGAGUUUGAUCAUGGCUCAGAUUGAACGCUGGCGGCAGGCCUAACACAUGCAAGUCGAGCGGUAGCACAGAGAGCUUGCUCUCGGGUGACGAGCGGCGGACGGGUGAGUAAUGUCUGGGAAACUGCCUGAUGGAGGGGGAUAACUACUGGAAACGGUAGCUAAUACCGCAUAACGUCGCAAGACCAAAGUGGGGGACCUUCGGGCCUCAUGCCAUCAGAUGUGCCCAGAUGGGAUUAGCUAGUAGGUGGGGUAAUGGCUCACCUAGGCGACGAUCCCUAGCUGGUCUGAGAGGAUGACCAGCCACACUGGAACUGAGACACGGUCCAGACUCCUACGGGAGGCAGCAGUGGGGAAUAUUGCACAAUGGGCGCAAGCCUGAUGAUGCACCAUGCCGCGUGUGUGAAGAAGGCCUUCGGGUUGUAAAGCACUUUCAGCGGGGAGGAAGGCGAUAAGGUUAAUAACCUUGUCGAUUGACGUUACCCGCAGAAGAAGCACCGGCUAACUCCGUGCCAGCAGCCGCGGUAAUACGGAGGGUGCAAGCGUUAAUCGGAAUUACUGGGCGUAAAGCGCACGCAGGCGGUCUGUCAAGUCGGAUGUGAAAUCCCCGGGCUCAACCUGGGAACUGCAUUCGAAACUGGCAGGCUAGAGUCUUGUAGAGGGGGGUAGAAUUCCAGGUGUAGCGGUGAAAUGCGUAGAGAUCUGGAGGAAUACCGGUGGCGAAGGCGGCCCCCUGGACAAAGACUGACGCUCAGGUGCGAAAGCGUGGGGAGCAAACAGGAUUAGAUACCCUGGUAGUCCACGCCGUAAACGAUGUCGAUUUGGAGGUUGUGCCCUUGAGGCGUGGCUUCCGGAGCUAACGCGUUAAAUCGACCGCCUGGGGAGUACGGCCGCAAGGUUAAAACUCAAAUGAAUUGACGGGGGCCCGCACAAGCGGUGGAGCAUGUGGUUUAAUUCGAUGCAACGCGAAGAACCUUACCUGGUCUUGACAUCCACAGAACUUUCCAGAGAUGGAUUGGUGCCUUCGGGAACUGUGAGACAGGUGCUGCAUGGCUGUCGUCAGCUCGUGUUGUGAAAUGUUGGGUUAAGUCCCGCAACGAGCGCAACCCUUAUCCUUUGUUGCCAGCGGUCCGGCCGGGAACUCAAAGGAGACUGCCAGUGAUAAACUGGAGGAAGGUGGGGAUGACGUCAAGUCAUCAUGGCCCUUACGACCAGGGCUACACACGUGCUACAAUGGCAUAUACAAAGAGAAGCGACCUCGCGAGAGCAAGCGGACCUCAUAAAGUAUGUCGUAGUCCGGAUUGGAGUCUGCAACUCGACUCCAUGAAGUCGGAAUCGCUAGUAAUCGUAGAUCAGAAUGCUACGGUGAAUACGUUCCCGGGCCUUGUACACACCGCCCGUCACACCAUGGGAGUGGGUUGCAAAAGAAGUAGGUAGCUUAACCUUCGGGAGGGCGCUUACCACUUUGUGAUUCAUGACUGGGGUGAAGUCGUAACAAGGUAACCGUAGGGGAACCUGCGGUUGGAUCACCUCCUUA
rnacentral:rRNA from 1 species